ensembl:antisense Dgkeos diacylglycerol kinase, epsilon, opposite strand
GAGUAUGUUCAUGUGGCUCUGGUAGUGGGGUGAGGUGCUGGGGAGCAGGGGCCCCCACAGCUCUGGGUGUCCAGAUGCAUUGUGGUAGCAGGUAUAGGAGGCACUCUGACUAUACCUGGCUUUCUUUACUUACUGUUAACAUUUUCUUUUCCCUCUUUGUUCCGUUUUGUCUUUCUUCCAGAUCAUUUGCCCACCUGCCUCUGGGAGGACGUCUUGAUGGCCGCCAGGCUGUGCUUGUCAGAUGCUGAGGAAGCACUGUUGGGGGCCCCUGGUCUCAGAAGUUUUGUCAGCCUGACUUCUCGAGAGAUACCACCAGAAGAACUAUGUCUACCUUGGUGUUUCUCCCAGAAUGAAUGCUGCGUCCCCCAGUUCCAGGCCGUGCACUUUCCUUUGAACAUCCGUCUGCAUCCUACAUCCCUGCCCCUCUGCCCACAUGCCGCUCCUUCCUGUUUAGCUUGGAUAGCAGGCUGGCUCUGGCCAUCAGAACCAUUGCUGACCUUGGCUGUCUUCACCUGCUGGGCAGACACAAAGUGAGGCCAACAUCUGGACCCAGAGGAGAAAUUAGAGGCCAUUUGUGGAAGCACUCAGGAGGCCGGAAGGCCUCUGUCCAAGGCCAAAACACCACACCAUUGUUUUCCAGUUCCAAACAGGAAGGGGACCUGGGUGUGCUUGGGCAAAGGAAAGGGAACCUGAGGUGGAUGUAAGUGUGGCAAGUGAUCUCGAGUUAAAAAGGGGCCACAGUCUCUUCUAAUAAACAGCGUAUACUGUUCUGAAUCCUGA